GAUGAACGCUGGCGGCGCGCCUAACACAUGCAAGUCGAACGAUUAAAGCACCUUCGGGUGUGUAUAAAGUGGCGAACGGCUGAGUAACACGUGGGCAACCUGCCCCUUUCAUUGGGAUAGCCACGGGAAACCGUGGAUAAUACCGAAUACUUCGAGACUUCCGCAUGGAAGACUCGAGAAAGCUCCGGCGGAGAGGGAUGGGCCCGCGGCCUGUUAGCUUGUUGGUGGGGUAACGGCCUACCAAGGCAAUGAUGGGUAGCCGGGUUGAGAGACCGACCAGCCAGAUUGGGACUGAGACACGGCCCAGACUCCUACGGGAGGCAGCAGUGGGGAAUCUUGCACAAUGGGCGAAAGCCUGAUGCAGCGACGCCGCGUGCGGGAUGAAGGCCUUCGGGUUGUAAACCGCUUUCAGCAGGGACGAGGCGAAAGUGACGGUACCUGCAGAAGAAGCCCCGGCUAACUACGUG
rnacentral:rRNA from 1 species